UUAGGAAUCUCGCGCAAUGGGCGAAAGCCUGACGCAGCAACGCCGCGUGAGGGAUGAAGGCUCUCGGGUUGUAAACCUCUUUCAGCAGGAACGACAUUGACGGUACCUGCAGAAGAAGCUCCGGCCAACUACGUGCCAGCAGCCGCGGUAAUACGUAGGGAGCAAGCGUUGUCCGGAUUUAUUGGGCGUAAAGAGCUCGUAGGCGGCUUACCAAGUCAGGUGUGAAACCUCCAGGCUCAACCUGGAGCCGCCACUUGAUACUGGUAUGGCUUGAGUUCGGUAGGGGUAAGCGGAAUUCCUGGUGUAGCGGUGAAAUGCGCAGAUAUCAGGAGGAACACCGAUGGCGAAGGCAGCUUACUGGGCCGAUACUGACGCUGAGGAGCGAAAGCGUGGGGAGCGAACAG
rnacentral:rRNA from 1 species